CCUAGGGGGGCUGCAGUGGGGAAUAUUGGACAAUGGGGGGAACCCUGAUCCAGCCAUGCCGCGUGUGUGAAGAAGGCCCUCGGGUUGUAAAGCACUUUCAGUGAGGAAGAACGCCUGGUGGUUAAUACCCAUCAGGAAAGACAUCACUCACAGAAGAAGCACCGGCUAACUCCGUGCCAGCAGCCGCGGUAAUACGGAGGGUGCGAGCGUUAAUCGGAAUUACUGGGCGUAAAGCGCGCGUAGGUGGCUUGAUAAGCCGGUUGUGAAAGCCCCGGGCUCAACCUGGGAACGGCAUCCGGAACUGUCAAGCUAGAGUGCAGGAGAGGAAGGUAGAAUUCCCGGUGUAGCGGUGAAAUGCGUAGAGAUCGGGAGGAAUACCAGUGGCGAAGGCGGCCUUCUGGACUGACACUGACACUGAGGUGCGAAAGCGUGGGUAGCAAACAGGAUUAGAUACCCGUGUAGUC
rnacentral:rRNA from 1 species